GACGAACGCUGGCGGCGUGCCUAAUACAUGCAAGUCGAACGAACCGCGACUGAGUGCUUGCACUUGGUCAAGGUGAGUGGCGAACGGGUGAGUAACACGUGGGUAACCUACCUCAUAGUGGGGGAUAACAGUCGGAAACGACUGCUAAUACCGCAUAGGACAUAGGAUCACAUGAUCCAGUGAGGAAAGGUGGCGCAAGCUAUCGCUAAGAGAUGGACCCGCGGUGCAUUAGCUAGUUGGUAGGGUAAAGGCCUACCAAGGCGAUGAUGCAUAGCCGACCUGAGAGAGUGAUCGGCCACAUUGGGACUGAGACACGGCCCAAACUCCUACGGGAGGCAGCAGUAGGGAAUCUUCCGCAAUGGACGCAAGUCUGACGGAGCAACGCCGCGUGAGUGAAGAAGGUCUUCGGAUCGUAAAGCUCUGUUGUUAGAGAAGAACAGCGCAUAGAGUAACUGCUAUGCGUGUGACGGUAUCUAACCAGAAAGCCACGGCUAACUACGUG
rnacentral:rRNA from 1 species